rnacentral:lncRNA from 1 species
CUCAGUGGUUCCGGCGCCUGCCUGGCAAGCUCAAAGUCCGGAGUUUGAUCCCCAGUAGCAAACAAAACAAAACAAAACGAACAAAAAAUCUACUAUCUAUUGAACAAAGCAUUGAACCAGGCACAGUGUUUUGUAUUUUGCAUUUAUUAUCUCGUCUAAUGCUAAUAGCAACUUCCGGCAAGAAAACUGAAUAAACAAAAAUUGGAUAACCAAGUUACCCAGAUGAUGAAUGGCUUCUAGUCCGGACCUACUGAGCAAACCCUUCAGCUUUCUGACAUGGACACACACAGGACUCUACACUGAGCUCCAGACCUUCAGCCUUCAACUGGAUCCUCUGACUCUCCAGUUACAGAUGACGCUUUUGCUAUCUUCUACCCUUGACUCCACAGGCAGCCACUAUGAAAAAUGUGAUAGAAAUAAGAGACCCAGAGGAGAUCUGAUAUUCACUAAGCUAUGAAGGAGCAUAUUCCUGAGUCCCACUCAGCAAUCAAGAGACCUGGCUGUCUUGCUCUCCACUUUCUCCAGAAGACACCGCUACAGAGGCUUUUACUUAGGAAGGCCUUCCACCCAGACCUGCACCAAGAACCCUGCUGUCUCAUGGCAGUGCUGUCCUCAUUUUUUGAUUAGCAGCCUCCUUGGCCAUACAUGUCUGCCUAAACAGUAAUCUGACUUUUACUCCCCGACACCCCGCUCCUCCUACCGCACUGGUCACUGUGCUCUAAACGGUGAAUCCUGGCUUGAUACCUGUUUUCUCCUUCCUUUUGUCUAGUAAUUUCUGUAUUUCUAUCAGCCCUAGUCCCC